rnacentral:rRNA from 1 species
GGUUAAGCGACUAAGCGUACACGGUGGAUGCCCUGGCAGUCAGAGGCGAUGAAGGACGUGCUAAUCUGCGAAAAGCGUCGGUAAGGUGAUAUGAACCGUUACAGCCGGCGAUGUCCGAAUGGGGAAACCCAGUGCAAUUCGUUGCACUAUCGUUUGAUGAAUACAUAGUCAAACGAGGCGAACCGGGGGAACUGAAACAUCUAAGUACCCCGAGGAAAAGAAAUCAACCGAGAUUCCCCCAGUAGCGGCGAGCGAACGGGGAGCAGCCCGGAGUCUGAAUCAGCUUGUGUGUUAGUGGAAGCGUCUGGAAAGUCGCAGGGUACAGGGUGAUACUCCCGUACACUAAAACAUACAGGUUGUGAACUCGAAGAGUAGGGCGGGACACGUGGUAUCCUGUCUGAAUAUGGGGGGACCAUCCUCCAAGGCUAAAUACUCCUGACUGACCGAUAGUGAACCAGUACCGUGAGGGAAAGGCGAAAAGAACCCCGGCGAGGGGAGUGAAAAAGAACCUGAAACCGUGUACGUACAAGCAGUAGGAGCCCACUUGUUGGGUGACUGCGUACCUUUUGUAUAAUGGGUCAGCGACUUAUAUUCUGUAGCAAGGUUAACCGUAUAGGGGAGCCGCAGGGAAACCGAGUCUUAACUGGGCGUUAAGUUGCAGGGUAUAGACCCGAAACCCGGUGAUCUAGCCAUGGGCAGGUUGAAGGUUGGGUAACACUAACUGGAGGACCGAACCGACUAAUGUUGAAAAAUUAGCGGAUGACUUGUGGCUGGGGGUGAAAGGCCAAUCAAACCGGGAGAUAGCUGGUUCUCCCCGAAAGCUAUUUAGGUAGCGCCUCGUGAAUUCAUCUUCGGGGGUAGAGCACUGUUUCGGCUAGGGGGUCAUCCCGACUUACCAACCCGAUGCAAACUACGAAUACCGAAGAAUGUUAUCACGGGAGACACACGGCGGGUGCUAACGUCCGUCGUGAAGAGGGAAACAACCCAGACCGCCAGCUAAGGUCCCAAAGUCAUGGUUAAGUGGGAAACGAUGUGGGAAGGCCCAGACAGCCAGGAUGUUGGCUUAGAAGCAGCCAUCAUUUAAAGAAAGCGUAAUAGCUCACUGGUCGAGUCGGCCUGCGCGGAAGAUGUAACGGGGCUAAACCAUGCACCGAAGCUGCGGCAGCGACACUAUGUGUUGUUGGGUAGGGGAGCGUUCUGUAAGCCGUUGAAGGUGGCCUGUGAGGGUUGCUGGAGGUAUCAGAAGUGCGAAUGCUGACAUAAGUAACGAUAAUGCGGGUGAAAAACCCGCACGCCGGAAGACCAAGGGUUCCUGUCCAACGUUAAUCGGGGCAGGGUGAGUCGACCCCUAAGGCGAGGCCGAAAGGCGUAGUCGAUGGGAAACAGGUUAAUAUUCCUGUACUUGGUGUUACUGCGAAGGGGGGACGGAGAAGGCUAUGUUGGCCGGGCGACGGUUGUCCCGGUUUAAGCAUGUAGGCGGAUGUUCCAGGUAAAUCCGGAACGUUAUUAACGCUGAGGUGUGAUGACGAGGCACUACGGUGCUGAAGUGACAAAUGCCCUGCUUCCAGGAAAAGCCUCUAAGCAUCAGGUAACAUCAAAUCGUACCCCAAACCGACACAGGUGGUCAGGUAGAGAAUACCAAGGCGCUUGAGAGAACUCGGGUGAAGGAACUAGGCAAAAUGGUGCCGUAACUUCGGGAGAAGGCACGCUGAUAUGUAGGUGAAGUGAUUUACUCAUGGAGCUGAAAUCAGUCGAAGAUACCAGCUGGCUGCAACUGUUUAUUAAAAACACAGCACUGUGCAAACACGAAAGUGGACGUAUACGGUGUGACGCCUGCCCGGUGCCGGAAGGUUAAUUGAUGGGGUUAUCCGUAAGGAGAAGCUCUUGAUCGAAGCCCCGGUAAACGGCGGCCGUAACUAUAACGGUCCUAAGGUAGCGAAAUUCCUUGUCGGGUAAGUUCCGACCUGCACGAAUGGCGUAAUGAUGGCCAGGCUGUCUCCACCCGAGACUCAGUGAAAUUGAACUCGCUGUGAAGAUGCAGUGUACCCGCGGCAAGACGGAAAGACCCCGUGAACCUUUACUAUAGCUUGACACUGAACACUGGUCCUUGAUGUGUAGGAUAGGUGGGAGGCUUUGAAGCGUGGACGCCAGUCUGCGUGGAGCCAUCCUUGAAAUACCACCCUUUAAUGGCUGGUGUUCUAACGUGGGCCCCUAAUCGGGGUUGCGGACAGUGUCUGGUGGGUAGUUUGACUGGGGCGGUCUCCUCCUAAAGAGUAACGGAGGAGCACGAAGGUCAGCUAAUCCUGGUCGGACAUCAGGAGGUUAGUGCAAUGGCAUAAGCUGGCUUGACUGCGAGCGUGACGGCGCGAGCAGGUGCGAAAGCAGGUCAUAGUGAUCCGGUGGUUCUGAAUGGAAGGGCCAUCGCUCAACGGAUAAAAGGUACUCCGGGGAUAACAGGCUGAUACCGCCCAAGAGUUCAUAUCGACGGCGGUGUUUGGCACCUCGAUGUCGGCUCAUCACAUCCUGGGGCUGAAGUAGGUCCCAAGGGUAUGGCUGUUCGCCAUUUAAAGUGGUACGCGAGCUGGGUUUAGAACGUCGUGAGACAGUUCGGUCCCUAUCUGCCGUGGGCGCUGGAGAAUUGAGGGGGGCUGCUCCUAGUACGAGAGGACCGGAGUGGACGCAUCACUGGUGUUCGGGUUGUCAUGCCAAUGGCAUUGCCCGGUAGCUAAAUGCGGAAGAGAUAAGUGCUGAAAGCAUCUAAGUACGAAACUUGCCCCGAGAUGAGUUCUCCCUGACUCCUUGAGAGUCCUGAAGGAACGUUGAAGACGACGACGUUGAUAGGCCGGGUGUGUAAGCGCAGCGAUGCGUUGAGCUAACCGGUACUAAUGAACCGUGAGGCUUAACCUU